UACAGAGGUCCCAAGCGUUGUUCGGAUUCACUGGGCGUAAAGGGUGCGUAGGCGGUCGGGUAAGUCUGAUGUGAAAUCUCACAGCUUAACUGUGAAACUGCAUUGGAUACUAUCCGGCUCGAGGAAUGGAGGGGAGACUGGAAUACUUGGUGUAGCAGUGAAAUGCGUAGAUAUCAUGAGGAAGACCAGUGGCGAAGGCGGGUCUCUGGACAGUUCCUGACACUGAGGCACGAAGGCCAGGGGAGCAAACGGG
rnacentral:rRNA from 1 species